CGGGCUUUCUCAUGCUAUUCCUCUCUCACAUAUGGAUCUUAAUAGGAAUUGUUGAAGAGUGGGUUUUAGAAAUUUAUUUUUACUUCUUGGAAAAUCUAGGUCUGAGCUGCGUUAAAUGGUUUCAAGGUUCUCUCUCAAUAUCAUCUAAUCCGGGUCUAAUUGCCAUUUUUGAAUUGGUAAAGUAAAUGGGAUGCCAUUAAUAAUGGCACCGCUUGCUCCACAUGGUUCUAUUGUUCAUAGCAUUCUUUACAAGCACCACAAAUAGACCAAUUCCUACUAGGGUGUGAAUAAGUGACAAGUUUUAUGGGUCAUUCAACUUGGGGUUAGCAUACGAAUGGAAGUGAUAAGAUGGAGGAAAGGCCCUUGGACUUCAGAAGAGAUAAGAUGCUUACUGAAUAUGUGAGCUUGAAUGGUGAAGGAAGAUGGAGUUCUAUAACGCUCGGUCUGCAGCAUAGUGGGAUGAAGACACACACUUGAGAAAAUGAGACUCGAUACUCGAAAUCAAUGGGCAACAAAGUUUCUUUGAGCAGAUGAGUCACAACUAGGGUAAUGUGUUAGUUGUUAGCUUUAGUUUCUUGUUUUCUCUGUACGUUGAUGUAUUUUAUAUAUAUUUGGUAUUAAAACUGAGUAUUUAAUUAAUAUAUAAUUUCACUAUAUAUAUAAAUUUAUAUUAGUUUUGGUUUUAAAAAUCUUAUGGAUUGGUAUUUUCGUGGACU